rnacentral:tRNA from 1 species
UCGCGGGAUGGAGCAGUCUGGUAGCUCGUCGGGCCCAUAACCCGAAGGUCGUAGGUUCAAAUCCUGCUCCCGCAA